rnacentral:rRNA from 1 species
UACAGAGGGUGCAAGCGUUGUUCGGAAUUAUUGGGCGUAAAGGGCGCGUAGGCGGCGCAACAAGUCACUUGUGAAAUCUCCGGGCUUAACUCGGAACGGUCAAGUGAUACUGUUGUGCUAGAGUGCGGAAGGGGCAACUGGAAUUCUCGGUGUAGCGGUGAAAUGCGUAGAUAUCGAGAGGAACACCUGCGGCGAAGGCGGGUUGCUGGGCCGACACUGACGCUGAUGCGCGAAAGCCAGGGGAGCGAACGGG